rnacentral:lncRNA from 1 species
CCCAUUGGCUCGGUCGCCUGCUCCGGGCCCCGCCCCCACAGGCGCGCGGCCCAACCGCCCCGAAAGGAUUUCCAUGGGCUAGGAAUCUGGGUGAGGUUAGCUGUGUCCUCUGGCUCAGGCUCUCAUGAGGAUACAAUCAAGCUGUCAGCCAGGGCUGCAGCUCUCUCAAGGCUUCAGAAUCCUCUUUCAAACUCACUUCCACUGCUGCUGGCAGGCCUGAGGUCCUCUCUGGCUGUUGGCUGGAGACAUCAUUUCCUGUCCACUUCCACCUCUUGCUUUUUGAAUCUCUUACUCACCAAACCUAGUCUCUCUGUGAAGACCUGCUCUGCCUUAAUCAAUAUUUUCCCCAUAGACCCAGUGAGAGGGGAGGAACAGGAAGAGAAGAGUGUGGCCUCCUAGAAAUCUAGCACUGGAGAAAGCCUCCCAAAGUGCUGGGAUUACAGGAGUGAACCACCAAGCCCGGCCUGACCUCUUGGCUAUUACCAAAGUAUGUUUGCUUCUGAGGAAGCUGGAAGCUGCAGCCACAAUGUGCCUUUGCAGGGGAGCCUGAGAGCCACAGGUUCAAGCGAUUCUCUUCAGCCUCCUGAGUAGCUGGGA